GUAACACGUAGUCAACCUGCCCUGGAGACAUGGACAACCCCGGGAAACUGGGAUUAAUCCGUGAUAGGUCAUCUCAUCUGGAAGGAGAGAUGGCUUAAAGGGGUACGCGGGCUUCUUCUGCGUAUUCGCUCCAGGAUGGGACUGCGUCCGAUCAGGCUGUUGGCGGGGUAAUGGCCCACCAAACCUGUAACCGGUACGGGCCUUGAGAGAGGUGGCCCGGAGAUGGACACUGAGAGAAGGGUCCAGGUCCUACGGGGCGCAGCAGGCGCGAAACCUUCGCAAUGCGCGAAAGCGUGACGAGGUUAAUCCGAGUGGCCCCCGCUGAGGGGGUCUCUUGUCAGCUGUAAAUAGGCGGGCGAAUAAGGGGAGGGCAAGCCUGGUGUCAGCCGCCGCGGUAAUACCAGCUCCUCGAGUGGUCGGGGCGAUUAUUGGGCCUAAAGCAUCCGUAGCCGGUUCCGUAGGUCCUCUGUUAAAUCCACCCGCUUAACGGGUGACCUGCAGAGGAUACCGCGGGACU
rnacentral:rRNA from 1 species